rnacentral:lncRNA from 1 species
UCUUUUCUUUUGUUUGUUAUUUUCUUUGAAUAAGAGGAUUGAGAGUUUCUGAAUAUUGUGAAGUGAAUUAUGGAAUGGAAAUGUGAUUGAUAUUAUUUGAGAAGAAAAAAGAUUGAAUGCUGAAAUCUGAUUAUAGUUCAGCAGAGAGAAUGAGUUUGUGUUUGUAUGAAAUACUGUAAUGUGAAUGGCAGUUCUGUGUGAAGAAUUCCAAAGAUUGGAACGACGGUAAUUGUAUGCUGAAAGUUGUGAGGGCGUAGUAUUACAGUUGGAGAUUAUGAGGGUGAAUAUAUUGAUGGAAAUAACAGUUAUUGGUAUGACUGAAUUGAUGUAAGGAAGAGACUGAUAAGGUGAAGGAGGAGAUUAUAGUUUCCUUGUGUGUUCAG